rnacentral:lncRNA from 1 species
AGGGGCCCCAGUUGUAUUUCUCUGCGACUCUCUUGUGGAUUUUCCAUGAUCCAUUAUGUGCACAUUAUCCAGAUGGCCUGAAGAAUGCUGUCCAUGCAUGGGUUUAGUCCUGGUUCCUGAGACCCUGUCUGAAAAAGGGGGAUGAAAAUUACCAGGGUCAUCUCUCACCAAAUAUGGCUCUACGCCGGAGCUGGACUCAUUCUUCACAAUACAUGGCUGCAACAUGUCAGUGCCCUCCAUGCUCCAGCUCCUGGGUAGGAGCAUUGCCACAGACAGGAGGGCUAUGGACAAGUUCUCCUCUUUCUUCUCUUCAAUACCUGCUUCAAAUAUGGCAGAG